GUCAUAAAGGGAAAAAGCCUGCACCUCUGCCACACGUACCAACAGCAGGGCAGACAGCACUCUAAACCCAAUUCAGGGCGUUGCCGCGUUGGGGAUAAGAGUCAUCGGGCGCCAGUCCGGCCCGUGGAAACCCCUCUGACGGCCCCUAUGGGCCUCCUUCCACCCCUACGCAGUUUAGUAGUACGGGGAAUACUGAACCCGAUGUGUGCACGAUGUUACCGCAUUUGUUUCACUUCGCUCGGCCACUGCCAUUCGUUUGGUGUUUUUAUUGCAGAGUCAAGCCUAACAUCAGACGUUGAGCUGAUGUACUUCGACCUUAGCGAUCAUUAGCGUCUAGUCUUACGACGCCACUUAUGCAAGGGCCCAGAACAUGUGUGGCGGGCAGUGUGGUACCCUCAGCCUUUACGGGCUUCAGCCACUGGAUUGCAUUCUUCCUCGGCGGCUUCCGUCCAGACUAUUUACCCCACUUCAGCAUUGUUCCAUUGGUAUAGAGAACCCUUAAGCGCCGGCGGCCGUCCAGCUGGUUAUACCCUCUCAGGCCA
rnacentral:rRNA from 1 species